GGCAGUGCUGUAGCUCAGGUUACUCAGAGGUUGUCAUCAUCCCAGGAUCAGGUUGAGCAUCUUCUGGAACUGAAUUAUCCCAGGCUUGUCAGAGCUCCCCGGUGCUGCGCGGUGUGUCCUCGCACGUCACAAGAGGCAACGUCUGCCCCAAGGAACUUAUAAUGAAAAACUGCAGAAUGGGCUGGGAGAAGGGAAUUAAUCAAUGAUUGACUUUCUCUGCAUUAAAUACAGGUGUGUCUGA